UCCAGACUCCUACGGGAGGCAGCAGUGGGGAAUAUUGCACAAUGGGGGGAACCCUGAUGCAGCGACGCCGCGUGAGUGAAGAAGUAUUUCGGUAUGUAAAGCUCUAUCAGCAGGGAAGAUAAUGACGGUACCUGACUAAGAAGCCCCGGCUAACUACGUGCCAGCAGCCGCGGUAAUACGUAGGGGGCAAGCGUUAUCCGGAUUUACUGGGUGUAAAGGGUGCGUAGGUGGCAGGGCAAGUCAGAUGUGAAAGCCCGGGGCCCAACCCCGGGACUGCAUUUGAAACUGUCGGGCUGGAGUGCAGGAGAGGUAAGCGGAAUUCCUAGUGUAGCGGUGAAAUGCGUAGAUAUUAGGAGGAACACCAGUGGCGAAGGCGGCUUACUGGACUGUAACUGACACUGAGGCACGAAAGCGUGGGGAGCAAACAGGAUUAGAUACCCCAGUA
rnacentral:rRNA from 1 species